rnacentral:rRNA from 1 species
UACGAAGGGGGCUAGCGUUGCUCGGAAUCACUGGGCGUAAAGCGCACGUAGGCGGCUUACUAAGUCAGGGGUGAAAGCCUGGAGCUCAACUCCAGAACUGCCUUUGAUACUGGUGAGCUUGAGUUCGGGAGAGGUGAGUGGAACUGCGAGUGUAGAGGUGAAAUUCGUAGAUAUUCGCAAGAACACCAGUGGCGAAGGCGGCUCACUGGCCCGAUACUGACGCUGAGGUGCGAAAGCGUGGGGAGCAAACAGGAUUAGAUCCCCUGGUAGUCCACGCCGUAAACGAUGGAUGCUAGCCGUUGGUGGGUUUACUCAUCAGUGGCGCAGCUAACGCAUUAAGCAUCCCGCCUGGGGAGUACGGUCGCAAGAUUA